rnacentral:rRNA from 1 species
UCUGGUUGAUCCUGCCAGUAGUCAAUGCUUGUCUCAAAGAUUAAGCCAUGCAUGUCUAAGUAUAAGCAAUUUAACAGUGAAACUGCGAAAUGCUCAUUAAACAGUUAUCGUUUAUUUGAUAGUUCCUUACUACAUGGAUAACUGUGGUAAUUCUAGAGCUAAUACAUGCUUAAAACCCGACCUUUGGAAGGAAUGUAUUAUUAAUAAAAAUCAAUGUCUUCGGACUCUUUGAUGAUUCAUAAUAACUUUCGAAUCGCAUGGCCUUGUGCCGGCGAUGGUUCAUUCAAAUUUCUGCCCUAUCAACUUCGAUGGUAGGAUAGUGGCCUACCAUGUUCAACGGUAACGGGGAAUAAGGGUUCGAUUCCGGAGAGGGAGCUGAGAAACGGCUACCACAUCCAAGAAGGCAGCAGGCGCGCAAAUUACCCAAUCCUAUACAGGGAGUAGUGACAAUAAAUAACGAUACAGGCCCUUCGGGUCUUGUAAUGGAGACAAGUAAAUACCUUAACGAGGAACAAUUGGAGGCAAGUCUGGUGCCAGCAGCCGCGGUAAUUCCAGCUCCAAUAGCGUAUAUUAAAGUUGUUGCAGUUAAAAGCUCGUAGUUGAACUUUGGGCUGGUUGGCCGUCUGGCUUUUGCCACGUACUGGAAUGCAACCGGCCUUUCUCUGCUAACCUAGCUCUUGGGUCUUUGGCGAACCAGGACUUUACUUGAAAAAAUUAGAGUGUCAAAGCAGCGUAUUGCUCGAAUAUAUAGCAUGGAAUAAUGGAAUAGGACGUUUGGUUCUAUUUGUGGUUCUAGACCAUCGUAAGAUUAAUAGGACGGUCGGGGCAUCAGUAUCAAUGUCAGAGGUAAAUUCUUGGAUUAUUGAAGACUAACUACUGCGAAAGCAUUUGCCAAGACGUUUCAUUAAUCAAGAACGAAGUUAGGGGAUCGAAGAUGAUCAAUACGUCGUAGUCUAACCAUAAACUAUGCCGACUAGGGAUCGGUGGUGUUUUUAAUGACCCACUCGGCACUUACGAAAAUCAAGUCUUUGGUUCUGGGGAUAUGGUCGCAAGGCUGAAACUUAAAGAUUGACGGAAGGCACCACCAGAUGGAGCUGCGGCUAAUUUGACUCAACACGGGAAACUCACCAGUCCAACAAUAAGAUUGACAGAUUGAGAGCUCUUCUUGAUUUGUGGUGGUGUGCAUGGCGUUCUUAGUGUGGAGUGAUUUGUCUGCUAAUUGCGAUAACGAACGAACCUUAACCUACAAAUAGUGUGCUAGCAUUUGCUGUUCUUCCACUCUAGAGGACUAUCGAUUCAAGUCGAUGGAAGUUGAGGCAAUAACAGGUCGUGAUGCCCUUAGACGUUCUGGGCCGCACGCGCGCUACACUGACGGAGCCAGCGAGUCUAACCUAGCCGAGAGGUCCUGGUAAUCUUGUGAAACUCCGUCGUGCUGGGAUAGAGCUUUGUAAUUUUUGCUCUUCAACGAGGAAUUCCUAGUAAGCGCAAGUCAUCAGCUUGCGUUGAUUACGUCCCUGCCCUUUGUACACACCGCCGUCGCUAGUACCGAUGAAUGGCUUAGUGAGGCCUCAGAUCUGCUUAGAGAAGGGGCAACUCCAUCUCAGAGCGGAAAAUCUGGUCAAACUGGUCAUUUAGAGGAACUAAAAGUCGUAACAAGUUUCCGUAGGUGAACCUGCGGAAG